AGUGAACGCUGGCGGUAGGCCUAACACAUGCAAGUCGAACGGCAGCACAGUAAGAGCUUGCUCUUACGGGUGGCGAGUGGCGGACGGGUGAGGAAUACAUCGGAAUCUACUUUUUCGUGGGGGAUAACGUAGGGAAACUUACGCCAAUACCGCAUACGACCUACGGGUGAAAGCAGGGGAUCUUCGGACCUUGCGCGAUUGAAUGAGCCGAGGUCGGGUUAGCUAGUUGGCGGGGUAAAGGCCCACCAAGGCGACGAUCCGUAGCUGGUCUGAGAGGAUGGUCAGCCACAGUGGAGCAGAAACGGGGUGCAGACGCCUACGGGAGGCAACAGUGGGACGUAGUGGACAAUAGGGGUAAGCCUGAUCCAGCCAUACCGGGUGGGUGUCAAAGGCCUUCGGGUUGUAAAGCCGGUUUGUUGGGUGAGAAAGGCGGCAGGUUAAUACCCCGCUGUUCUGACGGUACCCAGAGAAUAAGCACCGGCUAACUUCGUG
rnacentral:rRNA from 1 species